AUUACAUCACUAUUUUUACAGCACAGCAGCACAGUUUUAUAGCAAAACAAUAACAUAACCCCAUAUAAAUGUUUCAGUUUCAACAACAGCAAAACAAUAGCAUUACAUCACUAGUUUUGACAGCACAUCAGCAUAGUGUUUGAGCAAAAGAAUAGCAGAACCACAUAUAAAUGUUUCAGUUUCAAGUCUUUCGACAUCUAAACAUUCCAGUUACAACAAACACAAGUGCAUGAAUAUUAUUACAGUCCAUAACCAAAAUAAGACUAGUAGUUUGUUGGCUGCCAUCUCGCCAUGCCUUCUCUGAACCUUCUUCUCUUCUCAUUGCUCUAGCAACAACUCUAGAGGAUGGAAUGAAGAGAAAGUUAGCGGUAGUAUAAAGACAACUUGACAAUUGACAUGAACAAAGAAUAUAGAUGUUACAUUCUUCAUCCAAAGAUGAAUCUUCAUAAUUAUCUAGCGCAACCACUUCUGCCUUUCUCUAAUUAUCUACAACAAUAGAUUGGGUUAAUUAUCACUUGGAAGUAAAACAUACAAAUAAGAAUGUGAAACAAACAAGAUUACAACAUAUACCUUCUUUUUUCUGCAGUUUGCAAUGAUACCAAUCUUGCAAACACAUUAGGGCCUCAACCGUCUUUGGUUUAAGUGAGUUUCGGUUCGGGGUUAUAACCUUCUUACUCAAGCUGAAAGCGGAUUCUGAAGCAACACUUGACACAGGAACUGCAAGGAUAUCACGUGCCAUUCUUGCUAGUUGCGGAUACCUAGCUGCAGACUUACUC
rnacentral:lncRNA from 1 species